rnacentral:lncRNA from 1 species
CCUCUGCUUAGCUUGACGUCAGACUCUGAAAAACACUCUCUGUGGAAUUGAUUUCCACCAGUUUCAUUGCUGACUUUGGCACUUUGUUUCACAUUUAGUCAGUGUUUAUCUAAACGAGUUCCGGCUCCUUUCUUCCUCCGCACUAAUCCAUAAUGACCUCCGACUUCUGAGUAAAUCACGGGUUCAAUUUGCCGGUGUGGCUGCAAUCGUCUUCUUUCCCUCUUGUUGCCUUUAGUGUACGGUCUAUCUUUACAACCUGCUUUUCUUCUCUACUCCUUCCUCCUCACUGGCUCUCUUCCUUCGUAGGAAUAAAAGGCAAAAGCAGGUAACUCUGCUUACAUUGUGCCUUCAGAAUUUCCCGUGGCCCCACUGUGAGUGUAUGUCUAGUGGGAGAAGGAGACAGGGAGACUACACUUCCUUUCUGUAGAUUACCCACCAGAAAUAUGCUCGAUGCUUGUGAGAGGUUUUUGUGGUAGGUGAGAACUUACCCAUUUCUUACCUGGGAGUCCAAGGAGGCCCUGAAUGCUGGAACUCUUCAGGAUAACUAAUCUGAAGGUGUAUCAAAACUGUUCUGCAGCUGCACUGUGAAGACAUUUAUAACUGCACUUUAAUGGACGCUUGGUUCUUUCCGAUUCCCCAUGUGUCUGAAUCCAAUAGCUACUCCAUCAGGGUUGAUGCCGUCUACCACUACUUGACCUGCUAUGUUCAAAGUGGUUAAACUCAGAUCUGGAAUCUCACUGUUGCCUUGUAGACUUUGUUUUUAAAGAACCCAGAGUGUGACUGACCACAUAUGAUGUCAAAAAGAAACAUAGCAGCUGCCACUGGUUAGUGAAAACUUGGGCCUACACUGCCACUCCCUUUGGGCAAGUGCCUCUGUUGUGUAAGCUGAUCAGUGACUCAUUACCGAUGAGUAAUACUAAAUUUGGUUUGUGUAGCUGUUGCAUUGUGUUGGUGAAUAAGGUGAAUAAGGCUUUUCCCUUUGCCUUCCAGUCAAGGCUGAUGGCAGAGGGGAGGAGGCUUUGGCACGAGUUCAGUGUGUUUCUGUAAGCACUCUAGAGGAAGAACAAAACAUCCUCUUUAAGGCGUUCUCUGUGGAGCCCAUUGCAGGAUUAAACACUUUUAGCCUCUGUUAUGACUUUCAUGGAGCCAUGUCUGUUUUUCUAUUGAGGUCAACAUCUCCUUCUGUUCCCCAGUGAAUCCAAGGGAAGUGUGAGUCAUUGUCAAUGCAGUUGCACUGGGAAUGGAACUGUGGUGUUGCACUGUCAGACUCCAGGGUUGGGUGUUUUGCAGAUGAUGUGCUGGACAACAGAAGAGCCUAUACAGAUUUAAAAAUAUAUAUGUGUUUUGAGUAAAUAUGAGCUAAUUAGGAUAGCUUUAAUUUGGGGCCUUGCCUGAGAACCGGGAGACCUGGAACUCUGCCAUAAUGAACUUUGUAAUCUUGGGCAAGCAACUUAACAUUUCACGGUUUCAAUUUUUCCGUUUAAAAGUGAGACAACAUGAUCUCUAAGCUCUCUUUUGGCAAGAUGGUUUCAUAAUUUUCCUUUAAUUUACCGCAAAGACUGCUGGGCCAGAAAAUUCUCUGAAAGCUUGUUUUUAACAUAAGAUCAAUCUGAUGAAUAUCACCAAUGUAAAAAAUAAAUCAUUAACAGGUGCAUAUGGUAUUUGUAAU